rnacentral:rRNA from 1 species
UUUAUUGGAGAGUUUGAUCCUGGCUCAGGAUGAACGCUGGCGGCGUGCCUAAUACAUGCAAGUCGAGCGAAUGGAUUAAGAGCUUGCUCUUAUGAAGUUAGCGGCGGACGGGUGAGUAACACGUGGGUAACCUGCCCAUAAGACUGGGAUAACUCCGGGAAACCGGGGCUAAUACCGGAUAACAUUUUGAACCGCAUGGUUCGAAAUUGAAAGGCGGCUUCGGCUGUCACUUAUGGAUGGACCCGCG